rnacentral:rRNA from 1 species
UACGUAGGGUGCGAGCGUUAUUCGGAAUUACUGGGCGUAAAGCGUGCGCAGGCGGUUGUGUAAGUCAGAUGUGAAAUCCCCGGGCUCAACCUGGGAAUUGCAUUUGAGACUGCACGGCUAGAGUGUGUCAGAGGGGGGUAGAAUUCCACGUGUAGCAGUGAAAUGCGUAGAUAUGUGGAGGAAUACCGAUGGCGAAGGCAGCCCCCUGGGAUAACACUGACGCUCAUGCACGAAAGCGUGGGGAGCAAACAGG